ACUCCUACGGGAGGCAGCAGUGGGGAAUAUUGCACAAUGGGCGCAAGCCUGAUGUAGCGACGCCGCGUGAGGGAUGACGGCCUUCGGGUUGUAAACCUCUUUCGCCAGGGACGAAGCGCAAGUGACGGUACCUGGAUAAGAAGCACCGGCUAACUACGUGCCAGCAGCCGCGGUAAUACGUAGGGUGCGAGCGUUGUCCGGAAUUAUUGGGCGUAAAGAGCUCGUAGGCGGUUUGUCGCGUCGUUCGUGAAAACUCCACGCUUAACGUGGAGCGUGCGGGCGAUACGGGCAGACUUGAGUUCGGUAGGGGAGACUGGAAUUCCUGGUGUAGCGGUGAAAUGCGCAGAUAUCAGGAGGAACACCGGUGGCGAAGGCGGGUCUCUGGGCCGAUACUGACGCUGAGGAGCGAAAGCGUGGGGAGCGAACAGGAUUAGAUACCCUGGUAGUCCACGCUGCAAACGUUGGGCGCUAGGUGUGGGCGACAUCCACGUUGUCCGUGCCGUAGCUAACGCAUUAAGCGCCCCGCCUGGGGAGUACGGCCGCAAGGCUAAAACUCAAAGGAAUUGACGGGGGCCCGCACAAGCGGCGGAGCAUGUGGAUUAAUUCGAUGCAACGCGAAGAACCUUACCUGGGCUUUGACAUGCGCCAGACAUCCCUAGAGAUAGGGCUUCCCUUGCGGUUGGUGUACAGGUGGUGCAUGGCUGUCGUCAGCUCGUGUCGUGAAAAGUUGGGGUUAAGUCCCCGCAACGAGCGCAACCCUUAUCCUACGUUGCCAGGGGCG
rnacentral:rRNA from 1 species